GUCGGCUUCCUUCGUUGUGCAGAACAGACCUCCUGAUAAGAUGGUAUCUGCAGGAGGCCCUCACCCAAGGACUGACUGGUUAUAUAAGGGCUGCAUGAUAGAUGGAAUCACAGUGCAACCCUAGACAUGUCUAUUCAGAAGCAAGCCCCUCUGAACUUAAUGGGAUUUUCUCCCAGACAAAAGCACUGAAGGAUACGGAGGAAGAAAACUACCAAGACAUUUGCAUUUCUAAACCGCCCUAUAGCUGGCAGCUCCCAGGGCGGUGUACAACAUGACCAGCCUAUCUGUGUUCACUAUUUUCUCCAGCCAAUCUGUAUUUUGUACCACAACCCUGUUUGUGGCAGCAAUGGGAUGACCUACCAAAAUGAGUGUGAGCUCUGCAUUUACUGCAGGGAACAUCACAAGGACAUCAAAAUUGUGAAGGAUGAAGUAUGAUGAAAUAUGGAGGAUGCUUCUGUUUCAAUUCCAAUAUAUAUUGGAAUAUAUAUAUUCCAGUAUAAAAUGGCACUAAAGCUGAUUAAUCAGAGUUUAAUAGAUUACAAAAUAAAAAGUUCUUAAGAGCUUUAUACUGCUUGACUUCAUGUUGCUGGGUUUUGCUUUGCCCCCAAACAGUGACUACACUGAUAGUGCUACAGUAACCUUGUAUGUUGAUUUAAACAAAAUAAUUGUUUAAGAGGGCCAAGUCAUUCUUGUUUUUUAACAUUCAAGAUUUUCAAGUGCAUAAUGGUUUUGAAAAGCCAAAUCCUGAGAGCAAAAAU